rnacentral:lncRNA from 1 species
UUCAGCUUCACAGACACAGAAUGCAUUUAAGAAACUUCACAUAAUUGCUAUGGGCAGAAAAGAAGGGAAGAUCACUCUUAUAGGGUCCAAUUAACAACACUUGCUCUGGAGAGGAAAAAAAUAACAAAAAGAAACAAACAAGCAAAAAAACACUCAGGGGUACAGACAGAGCUCUGAUGGGCUAAGAAAUCUGCUGAAAACUUGUGUGUUACAAUGGAUGCCAG